GGGCACUUCACACUGGACUCACCCCACCCAGAGAUGCCCAUCCACCUCUGCCCAGCCCUGCCUUUCUCCCCUGCUGCCACACGGAGGCGACAGAGCAACCCUUCCACAGCUGCCUCUGGACGUUCUCCCAUCAGCAACGUGGAUGGGUGGCUGAGGUGGGAUCUGUGCCUUCUGCAGAUGAUCCCGGCCUGGUGAUGGCCCUCUUUUGGGCUGAGACUCCUCACGCGGAAGAUGAUGGAGGUGGAUGUUGUGAGUCCUCUGGUCCUCCAGCACUUCAAUCCAGCCUCCCACGGCAAGCCAGUUCUCGGCAACUGUGUGCCUGGGGUUCCACUCCCAGCACCUGCUUCUGGAUGGCCUGGGGGAUCCACCUGGGUGCCCCUCCACUCCGGGUCCCAGGGGAGACUGACACCCACCCAGGCAACCACCUGCUUGUUACAGAGCCCUGCAGGAGGCAGCUCACCACCCACGAGGAGGGACUUAGGCAGCGGACUUGCUGAGGGGUAAGGGUCUGCCCCAUGAUGCCUCACAGCUCCACCUUCUGGGAGCCACCCACGUGUGGGCAGCCUCAGGGGACUCCAGCUCCAGGAGCAAGAUCGGGUUGUGGAUGGAGGAAGGGUUGCAGAUGCCAUCAAAGCUGUUGCUUCUCUGUGAACUGCAGCAGACUUUGCCCGGAGCAGUAAACUGUGGACGGAGGAAGGGAAGCAGGAAGGCAGGUUUGAGACUGGUUCCCCAUGGGUUCACUGGCACUAUCCUGGGUCGUCCCACCCUUCCUUCAGCCUGCCGCCCUGUCCUGAGUCAUGCAGUUCCCUAGCACUCCUGGGACAGCUGAGCCCUGUGCAUGCAUGCACGCAGCAUUCCCCUG
rnacentral:lncRNA from 1 species